rnacentral:rRNA from 1 species
AACGAACGCUGGCGGCAGGCUUAACACAUGCAAGUCGAGCGCCCCGCAAGGGGAGCGGCAGACGGGUGAGUAACGCGUGGGAAUCUACCCAUCCCUACGGAAUAGCUCCGGGAAACUGGAAUUAAUACCGUAUACGCCCUACGGGGGAAAGAUUUAUCGGGGUGGGAUGAGCCCGCGUUGGAUUAGCUAGUUGGUGGGGUAAAGGCCUACCAAGGCGACGAUCCGUAGCUGGGCUGAGAGGAUGAUCAGCCACAUUGGGACUGAGACACGGCCCAAACUCCUACGGGAGGCAGCAGUGGGGAAUAUUGGACAAUGGGGGCAACCCUGCUCCAGCCAUGCCGCGUGAGUGAUGAAGGCCUGAGGGUUGUAAAGCUCUUUCACCGGGGAAGAUAAUGACGGUACCCGGAGAAGAAGCCCCGGCUAACUUCGUGCCAGCAGCCGCCGUAA